AGGUCCAGCCUGCCCAGUGACAAAGUUCAACGGCCGCGGUACCCUAACCGUGCGAAGGUAGCAUAAUCACUUGUUCUUUAAAUAGGGACUAGUAUCAAUGGCACCACGAGGGUUGCACUGUCUCCCUUUUCUAAUCAGUGAAACUGAUCUCCUCGUGAAGAAGCGAGGAUAAAAACAUAAGACGAGAAGACCCCAUGGAGCUUCAAACCUCAAGCAACUUAUUUGUAUACACCUCUAUAAUUAUAAAGCUAUGCCUAACGGUUUUAGGUUGGGGUGACCGCGGAGAAAAAAUUAACCUCCAUAACGAAAAGAACUAAAUCUUUAUCUAAGAGCAACCGCUCUAAGAAUUAGAACACUAACGUUUAAUGACCCGACAAACGAUCAACGAACCAAGUUACCCUGGGGAUAACAGCGCAAUCUACUUCUAGAGCCCCUAUCAACAAGUAGGCUUACGACCUCGAUGUUGGAUCAGGGUAUCCCUGUGGUGCAGCCGCUACUAAUGGUUC
rnacentral:rRNA from 1 species